ensembl:lncRNA
CCUGUUGUUUUGCUAUAACUGCCUGCUGUUUUUGACCCAAGCGGUUUCAGCUGCAUAAAACUAAAUUUUUUUACGUCAUGCUUCUUGGAGAAAUGCUUGCAGCGUCAUCCCUGGCCAUGCUUGGAGAAAAUUCAAGCAUGCUGUUUCUACUGGACUCUUCAUGCAGCCUGCCCAGUCCCUUUUCUGGAGCUGCCUCAUGCUCUCAUCGGUACAGUUUUGAGUUUGGGCUUCCUCACCUGUGACUCAGAGCCAAGAUCUGGCAGAGUAAAGCUCAAGGAUGAAAAACUUCAAGCACUGCAUUUUCCUGAUCUUCUUAUCCCACUGAGAUUAUGCCCAGUGCCAGCUUCAGCUAAGAGGCGUUGCCUCUUACUGUUACAUACUCUAAAUGCAUUCCCACUGCAGAGGCAGCUGAUCUGCAUAGCAUCUAACGUCAAGUACUAACCUGUGGAAUUUGACUUACCAUGGUAUUUUCUUUCUCAUCUUUCCUGCAGGUCCCAGCAAGAAGUCACAGUGUAUUCUUCUCCAUUGCUCCCUUUGGAGUUCAUGUGUUCAGCCUUCUUUCUAAUGAUGGCAAUAAGCAGCUGUCAGCUUUAUCUGAUGAUGGUUGCUGCUUCACUGAUCUGCCUGCUUGAGUUAUAGGAUGCCAGGACCAAGCUGUCUUUUAUUACAUGAUGGAGACUCGGUCACUCUUACAGAAACUAUGAAUCCUGCCAGCUUCUGGUUUUUCAGUCUUCCAGUUGGAGAGGAGAGACACAGAUAUUUAAGACAGAUGCAACUUAGAUGCAACACGCUGACUUCUGUACAAAGUACUGUGUUUCACAUGACACAGAACAGGAAGGAAAAACCACUAAAACCUCAAAAAAUCCCACAAACCAGAACAGUUAUUUCCUUCUCGGCGCUAAUUAGGCUGAAGAACAGUAGUAAUAGUGGUCAUUUCAAAUUAGUUCCUGUGUGUACACAUGCAUGUAAGUUUAAAUUUCUUUACUGCCAACACUACCAGAACUUGCGUCUUUAG